rnacentral:rRNA from 1 species
UACGGAGGGAGCUAGCGUUGUUCGGAAUUACUGGGCGUAAAGCGCACGUAGGCGGCUAUUCAAGUCGGGGGUGAAAGCCCGGGGCUCAACCCCGGAACUGCCCUCGAAACUAGAUAGCUAGAAUCUUGGAGAGGCGAGUGGAAUUCCGAGUGUAGAGGUGAAAUUCGUAGAUAUUCGGAGGAACACCAGUGGCGAAGGCGACUCGCUGGACAAGUAUUGACGCUGAGGUGCGAAAGCGUGGGGAGCAAACAGG